rnacentral:rRNA from 1 species
UACAGGGGGUGCAAACGUUGCUCGGAAUUACUGGGCGUAAAGCGUGCGCAGGCGGUUUUGUAAGUCUGUCGUGAAAUCCCCGGGCUCAACCUGGGAAUUGCGAUGGAGACUGCAAGGCUAGAAUCUGGCAGAGGGGGGUAGAAUUCCACGUGUAGCAGUGAAAUGCGUAGAGAUGUGGAGGAACACCGAUGGCGAAGGCAGCCCCCUGGGUCAAGAUUGACGCUCAUGCACGAAAGCGUGGGGAGCAAACAGG